CGGGAAAUAGCUCAGCUUGGUAGAGCACUUGGUUUGGGACCAAGGGGUCGCAGGUUCGAAUCCUGUUUUCCCGAC
rnacentral:tRNA from 1 species